rnacentral:lncRNA from 1 species
UUCUGUCGAGGUCGGCGUUUGAAGUCGACGAUCGCAUUUCGUUGCUGGUUUUGUGUUCAUUAACCAGUUUUAAAGGAGUAAGGUCCAAUUCUUCGAUCCUUUACUCAUUCUAGUUGUGUUUGGUGAUUUGAUCCUAAUUGCUUGUUAUUUAUGAUUUUGAAUAUGUCCGCUCGUAUAUCUACUUGAACUAGCUGACCGAGUUGUGCGUUCAAUAUUCUGUCAUAUUGAUGCAAGUAUAUGUUUUGAGCCCAUCAAACAUGUUUGGUACACACAUGCCUCUUUGAU